rnacentral:lncRNA from 1 species
GAGGAACAGAGAAACGUUCUUAUUGGAUUGUCAGUGAAAGAAUGUGAAAAAAAUCCGUUGGGGCCUUAAGAGAUGAUGCUCCUCUUGCAGAGGUGUCAGGGGAUGUAGUCAGGUCGUAGUCCAGAGACGACGCACAAAUACAUCAGAAGAAGAUUCCUGCUGCUCGUUGAUCUAAAUUUCCCCAGUGUAUCCUUAAAGACCAUGCACCUCAUGAAAAGGCUGUGUAAGUGAUAUGCCUACAGCAGGAUUCAGCCCGAAGCAUCUCCGUGCGAGGACUUUUCUGGACUAGUGGAUCAUUAAGGACAGAUACAUUCUGAGGCACAGUGCUAAUUGCUGGACCACAGGUUCCAAUGCAGAGUGCCAGAGCAGGCGGAC